rnacentral:pre_miRNA from 1 species
AAAACCGCAAAAAUGAGUUUUCCCUCCAAAACCGGCAAAUCGAGUUUUCUCGCCAAAACCGUGAAAUUGAGUUUUACGGGUUUUCCAGAAAAAACUUAAUUUUACGUUUUCACGGGAAAUUCGAUUUUGAUUUUUUGGCGUAAAAAUUCGAUUUUGAAGUUUUGACGAAAAACUCGAUUUUGCAUUUUUGGAGGGAAAACUCGAUUUUGCGGUUUC